rnacentral:tRNA from 1 species
GGAACCUUAAUUUAAUUAAAGUGUCUGAGUUGCAUUCAGGUGAUGUGAGAUAGAGUCUUGCAGGUUUUA